rnacentral:rRNA from 1 species
GCUUGCGCUCGGGUGUGAAGAGUCUCAUCCGGUAGAGCGAAUGAUUAGAGGCCUUGGGGUCGAAACGACCUCAACCUAUUCUCAAACUCCAAAUAGAUGAGAACCCCGGCUUGCUUGAAUUUUUUUUAUUGAAGCCGCGGACUCGAUCAGAGUGCCAAGUGGGCCAAUUUUGGUAAGCAGAACUGGCGCUGUGG